UCCCUGCGUACCACGUGAAGCCACCGGGG
rnacentral:piRNA from 1 species